rnacentral:rRNA from 1 species
UUCCAGACUCCUACGGGAGGCAGCAGUGAGGAAUAUUGGUCAAUGGCCGCAGGGCUGAACCAGCCAAGUCGCGUGAGGGAUGACGGUCCUAUGGAUUGUAAACCUCUUUUGUCAGGGAGCAAAGGGCGCCACGUGUGGCGUUUUGCGAGUACCUGAAGAAAAAGCAUCGGCUAACUCCGUGCCAGCAGCCGCGGUAAUACGGAGGAUGCGAGCGUUAUCCGGAUUUAUUGGGUUUAAAGGGUGCGCAGGCGGAAUGUCAAGUCAGCGGUAAAAUUUCGGGGCUCAACCCCGUCGUGCCGUUGAAACUGGGUGCCUUGAGUGGGCGAGAAGUACGCGGAAUGCGUGGUGUAGCGGUGAAAUGCAUAGAUAUCACGCAGAACUCCGAUUGCGAAGGCAGCGUACCGGCGCCCAACUGACGCUGAAGCACGAAGGCGUGGGUAUCGAACAGGAUUAGAUACCCGUGUAC